rnacentral:rRNA from 1 species
CAGGCCUAACACAUGCAAGUCGAACGAUAAAUUCCGAUUCGUCGGAAAAGUAAAGUGGCGAACGGGUGAGUAACGCGUGGGUAAUCUGCCCUCGAAUUCGGGAUAACUUCGCGAAAGCGGAGCUAAUACCAGAUAAAACUGAUUUUGCUGCGGCGAGACCAGCCAAAGAUGGCCUCUACAUGUAAGCUGUCGUUUGAGGAUGAGCCCGCGUACCAUUAGCUUGUUGGGAGGGUAAUGGCCUACCAAGGCAACGAUGGUUAGCUGGUCUGAGAGGAUGACCAGCCACAUUGGAACUGAGACACGGUCCAGACUCCUACGGGAGGCAGCAGUGGGGGAUUUUGCGCAAUGGGGGAAACCCUGACGCAGCGACGCCGUGUAAAUGAUGAAGGCCUUCGGGUCGUAAAGCUCUGUCAGGUGGGAAGAAAUAUCCCGAUACGAAUAGUAUUGGGGUUUGACGGUACCACCAAAGGAAGCACCGGCUAACUCCGUGCCAGCAGCCGCGGUAAU